rnacentral:rRNA from 1 species
UACGUAGGGACCGAGCGUUGUCCGGAAUCAUUGGGCGUAAAGAGCGUGUAGGCGGCUUGUUAAGUCUUGCGUGAAAUCUCGGGGCUCAACCCCGAGCGGUCGUGAGAAACUGGCAGGCUAGAGUGCGGGAGAGGAGAGUGGAAUUCCUGGUGUAGCGGUGAAAUGCGCAGAUAUCAGGAAGAACACCCGUGGCGAAGGCGGCUCUCUGGGCCGUAACUGACGCUGAGGAGCGAAAGCAUGGGGAGCGAACAGG